rnacentral:rRNA from 1 species
GAUGAACGCUGGCGGCGUGCUUAACACAUGCAAGUCGAACGAUUAAGGCGGCUUCGGCCGCGUAUAGAGUGGCGAACGGGUGAGUAACACGUGACCAACCUGCCCCGCGCUCCGGGACAACCGCUGGAAACGGCGGCUAAUACCGGAUGCUCCGGGGAGGCCCCAUGGCCUCCCCGGGAAAGCCCCGACGGCGCGGGAUGGGGUCGCGGCCCAUUAGGUAGACGGCGGGGUAGCGGCCCACCGUGCCCGCGAUGGGUAGCCGGACUGAGAGGUCGACCGGCCACAUUGGGACUGAGAUACGGCCCAGACUCCUACGGGAGGCAGCAGUGGGGAAUUUUGCGCAAUGGGGGAAACCCUGACGCAGCAACGCCGCGUGCGGGACGAAGGCCUUCGGGUUGUAAACCGCUUUCGGCAGGGAAGACAUAGACGGUAC